rnacentral:rRNA from 1 species
UUGUUACGAGACCGAUAGCGAACAAGUACCGUGAGGGAAAUUUGAAAAGAACUUUGAAGAGAGAGUUCAAGAGUACGUGAAACCGUUCAGGGGUAAACCUGUGAAACCCAAAAGAUCGAAUGGGGAGAUUCAUCGUCAGCGUUUUUAGUAUUAAUGCARGCUAUGAUGUGAUAAUAGAAUCCUUGUGGUYACUAGAUUAUACUUGCUUGUAUUAUUUUUGCUAAWUUCGUYGGCGUGCACUUCUCCUCUAGUAGRACGUCGCAACCUGUURGAUGUUUAUCUAUGGCYYAACUGGUAGCCUUUAGUAUUUYAUUAUACUGAAGACYUUUARUGUCCUGAUAAACUGUUUGACAGUAUACAUAUGGUAUUGAGCCGCAAUUAUUUGCGUUARGCUUACCGCAAGCRUGAUUUUCUCCUGGUAGUGYGGAUCUAAUGCCGUCGCUGGGAAAAAUCUGCUGUUGGCUGUGUAAUGUCUUUAACUGGCUUAUUUACCGGUUAGCGAUGCUACUGCUUUGGGUACUUACA